rnacentral:rRNA from 1 species
AACGAACGCUGGCGGCGCGCCUAAUACAUGCAAGUCGAGCGAGAAGACGUAGCAAUACGUUUGUAAAGCGGCGAACGGGUGAGGAAUACAUGGGUAACCUACCCUCGAGUGGGGAAUAACUAGCCGAAAGGUUAGCUAAUACCGCAUACGCUUCCCGGACUGCGGUUCGGGAAAGAAAGCGAUACCGUGGAUAUCGCGCUCUUGGAUGGGCUCAUGUCCUAUCAGCUUGUUGGGAGGUAAUGGCUCACCAAGGCUUCGACGGGUAGCUGGUCUGAGAGGACGAUCAGCCACACGGGAACUGAGAAACGGUCCCGACUCC